rnacentral:rRNA from 1 species
UACAGAGGUGGCGAGCGUUGUUCGGAAUUACUGGGCGUAAAGGGCGCGUAGGCGGCCUUCUAAGUCGGACGUGAAAGCCCCAGGCUUAACCUGGGAACUGCGUCCGAUACUGGGAGGCUUGGAUUCGGGAGAGGGAUGUGGAAUUCCAGGUGUAGCGGUGAAAUGCGUAGAUAUCUGGAGGAACACCGGUGGCGAAGGCGGCAUCCUGGACCGACAUCGACGCUGAGGCGAGAAAGCUAGGGGAGCAAACAGG